ensembl:lincRNA
CAGGUCCCUGCCAUACCUUCCAGCAGUGGGGGACUUAUGAGUGAUGGGAGCACAGCUGUUGUUUAGCUUCCCCCGUGACCCCAGCCAGCGGACACCAGGAAUUUCCGGGCUGUUCCCGGCGCCCCGUGCUGGAAGGCGGGCGCGCUCCAGCCGCAGGUGCAUUAAUCCAGCGUGACCCAAGGUCACGGAGAAAGUCCCAACACCACGGAGGUGGGAUGAGGCUCAGGGCAGGGCGCUGCUGAGAAGGCUCCGCCGGGGAGGAUCGGACGUGCCAUGCUUGGUGAGUGACUGUCCAGCUUGCUACCCGUGUGUGGAGGCCUUGGGCCCCAGAAGGCUCCCCGCUUUCCUGAAUCCCCGUCUGUGACGGCGCGAGCUUGGGGGAGCCCCGUACCCUCCCCACGAGCCACGGGGCCAGGCCGCGCUGCCUCUCUCAGACUCGCCCAAGGGACACCGGGGGGCCUGGAGCUGGGGCUCCGCGCUCACCUGUGUGACAUCAGGCCGGGUGCCGGCAGCACCCCUAAAAGUGGUGAGCGGUCAGGGUGCCCUCGCGGCUUGGCUGCGGGGUGCCUCCGUCUUGCUGUGACAGCGUCGGCCACGUUCCUCCGUAACGACGGGUGGGCCAUCGAGUCCCCAGACGGCUACGACGGUCGGGCCGGGCGCGCUGGCGCCGAGGGGCGCCUUUGGAGAAGGGCCUGCCUAGAGCGGGCGCCGGGAGCGGACCGCGGGUGCAGGCACACGGCUAGCUGCUCUUGCCACCACGUGUGGAAGGAGACCCGUUUUCUGGAAGAAAUGCUCGGGAAAGGUGCUCCUAGCUGGCGUGGGCAGGUGCACCUUAGACUCCUGCCCCACCUGUGAUCAGUUCCUCGCACCACCCGCAAAGCUCAUCUUCUCAAAACACUGAGCGGGCCCGUGUGAUGGUCUCACCUCGCUGGCCCCCAUCGCCCACCCCGUGAAGUACGUGCUCCGCCCCGGACGAGAAGCUCCGUCUUCACAGCACUUGGUGCCUUACCCAGGGCUUGUUCCAGCUCGGUCUCGCUGAGCGGUGGCCAGGACAGAGGGCCCUCUCCUCCGUGUGUAGAUGCUGUGAGGGGGUCAGACAGGUCAGAGGGCCUGCCCAGGGCCACGCCGGUCCCAGCAGCCGGGGACCGGGUCCCCAGAGCGUGCCCUUUCCCUGGGGACCGGGAGGGCUGCACCUUCUGUUCCCGCAGGACUGCGGAGAGGCCGCGGGCGUCCCCGUGCUCCGGAGUUGCCAUCCAGGGCUGUCAGCUGCGACUCGUUUCCUGACCAAUUUCCCCUCCGAUUGGGAAAAGCCUGCCUCCUGCCAGGGCAUCUGCGGAGGCCAGGAAACACUCUGUACUUCCCGGUGUCUUCGAGCGCCUGCCUUGACGCAGAGGAAGCGCGGGGUGGGCUGUCACUGCCCCCGCCCCGGCUCGUGGGGUGGCUCUCGGCCGCGAGGGACCUUCGGCCGCCCUUUCCGAUAGGGUGUACCUCUGAGCAGGCUUCCGAGCCUGAGCUGGAGGAGCUAAUGAAGAAAUCCUAAACUGCUUCAGAACGUCUUCCAGCGCGGUGUUCUGUUACCGAAUGCAUAGAUUUGUUACAACGUAGAUGUGGAUCGUUCUGGAGAAUACCGUGUGGAGAAGCUACAAGUCCAAACCAGCAGCACCUGCUAGCCACGGCGUGAUUUCAGAGUCAGGACCUCAGGGGCCCUGCCACCACGUCCUCGUGGGCCGAAGCCAGGGGUGUUGGGAUUCUGAUGGUGAUUUGGGAGACAGUUGAGUGGAUCAGAAGUUUAAGUGAUGUCGAAAAUAUGACCGACGAUUGUCCAGCACCCCGGGAACUGCCUUUGGUUCUGUAAAGACGGAGGAAAUACAUAUAUGUAUUUAUGGGUAUUCACUAGAAGUAUUGAUAAUUUUUGUGCUCUCAUAUUCUUCAUCAGGUCUUAGUUUUAAUUGGCUGGCUAGCUAAUGAUAAUUGAAUAAAGAAGGCAUCUUGAUGAAAAAUAACUUGACACCUGGGUGCUUUAUGAGCUUCUGUGUGUGUGUAUGUGCCCCAUCAGUGGUUAGGAAGAGAAGCUUCUACUUCAUGCCUGUGCAGUUUGCAUUUUGAAUAAUUAAGCAAAUGGUUUAGCAAAAACAAAAGAACUUGCUCACAGCAUGUGAAGGUAAAGAGCAGAUUCCUGCAGUGCCGCUGCCUCUGGCUACCUCUGCGCCUUCCUUCCUUAGCCGAGGAGCUGCCCGACCCAGGAGGAGUGGAGCUAGUGCCCCAAGGUGCGGCGCCUUCUGUGUGUCCCCACUGACUUGCCCAG